UACGAACUGUGCAAACGUUAUUCGGAAUCACUGGGCUUACAGGGUGCGUAGGCGGCCUGACAAGUAGGGUGUGAAAGCCCCCGGCUCAACCGGGGAAUGGCGCCCUAAACUGUCGGGCUGGAGUGAGAUAGGGGUGUGCGGAACUUCCGGUGGAGCGGGUGAAAUGUGUUGAUAUCGGAAGGAACGCCGGUGGCGAAAGCGGCACACUGGAUCUCACUGACGCCUGAGGCACGAAAGCCAGGGGAGCGAACGGG
rnacentral:rRNA from 1 species